rnacentral:rRNA from 1 species
AGCGGAGGAAAAGAAACCAACCGGGAUUGCCUUAGUAACGGCGAGUGAAGCGGCAAAAGCUCAAAUUUGAAAUCUGGUACCUUCGGUGCCCGAGUUGUAAUUUGGAGAGGGCAACUUUGGGGCCGUUCCUUGUCUAUGUUCCUUGGAACAGGACGUCAUAGAGGGUGAGAAUCCCGUGUGGCGAGGAGUGCGGUUCUUUGUAAAGUGCCUUCGAAGAGUCGAGUUGUUUGGGAAUGCAGCUCUAAGUGGGUGGUAAAUUCCAUCUAAAGCUAAAUAUUGGCGAGAGACCGAUAGCGAACAAGUACAGUGAUGGAAAGAUGAAAAGAACUUUGAAAAGAGAGUGAAAAAGUACGUGAAAUUGUUGAAAGGGAAGGGCAUUUGAUCAGACAUGGUGUUUUGUGCCCUCUGCUCCUUGUGGGUAGGGGAAUCUCGCAUUUCACUGGGCCAGCAUCAGUUUUGGUGGCAGGAUAAAUCCAUAGGAAUGUAGCUUGCCUCGGUAAGUAUUAUAGCCUGUGGGAAUACUGCCAGCUGGGACUGAGGACUGCGACGUAAGUCAA